ACUUCUCUGGAGAUACCCUGGUAAGAUUGUUUACUAUUACGACAUCCGUGCAUCUUUUGCAUACACUACUAGGAAAAGGGCUAUAGAUGGGAUGGACACUAAUGGCCCACUGUACAUGUGGUGCGCCAUUACUAAAUACUAAUGGCGCACCAUGUGUUGGUGCGCCAUUAGUGUGCAAAUACUAAUGGCGCACCACAUCCCACGGUGCGCCAUUAGUAAAAUUUGUUUUAAUUUUUUCAAAACUACUAAUGGCGCACGGCGGGUGUGGUGCGCCAUUACUAUGUUGACAUAGUAAUGGCGCACCACACCCACCGUGCGCCAUUAGUAGUUUUGAAAAAAAAAAUUGUUAGUAAUGGCGCACCUGUGGACAGUGGGUGUGGUGCGCCAUUAGUAGUUUAACUAUCAAUGGCGCACCACCCCAUGGUUCGCCAUUACUAACAUGGCCCAAAAGUUCCCGAAUGCACCCCCCUCCUUGGAUCGCCUUUUCAGUUUUAAAAAAAAUAAAAGAAAAUGAUGGAAAUAUCAAAAAAAAUAAAAGAAAAUAAGUUUCCCAUGUGAUAUGUGGUAUAGUUGUUGGGAAAAUUUACAAAUAUGAAUUUCAACUUUAUUUGCAAAAUCUCUCUCGAAAUUUGUAAAAUGGGCAUAACUUUUGCAUACGAACUGGGAUGAAAAAGUUUUUUAUAUGAAAAAUCAUCUACUCGAAAAGUUAAAUCCAAAUUUAAUAGUGGGAACCCCGUUAAACAUUUUUUAAAUCCCCAAAAACCUAACAGAAAAAAAGUUGCGGGGCUUUCAAGAUCUAGAGGCAAAAAAAUUCGAAAAAUUUCAAACUUACUAGUGGCGCACCGUGGAUGUGGUGCGCCACUAGUAAUAGAAAAAAAAUUGGUUUUGGAUUUUUUUUGAAUUUUUUUCAAAAAAUGAUACGUAAUAUGACCGGGAAGUUUGAAAUAUUUUUCAAAAUUUGAUCAUAGUCAUGAACAUGAACAAAGUCCUAGACAUCAACAAGGUAUAAUAGGAUUGAUAUGCUAGAUAUAUCAACAAGUGCGUGUGAAGUGAGCUGUUGCUGGGGUUGGAUAGAACUCUGAAGUUAAGCGUGCUUGGGCUAGAGUAGUGUGAGGAUGGGUGACCUUUCGGAAGUUUGACCACGGAGUGCGAUUUGACCUGAGAUUAAGCAUAUUGACCCGAGAUUAAGCCAUAGUGAACUGAGAUUAAGAAAAAAACGAAAAAAAAAAUUUAAAAAAAUUUAAAAAAAAUUGAAAAAAUAUUGUUACUAAUGGCGCACUUCUAUGUGGUGCGCCAUUAGUAUACCAGAUACUAAUGGCGCAUCGUGGGCUAUUCUAAUGGCGCACUAGCGGGUGUGCCAUUAGUAUGCCAGAUACUAAUGGUGCACCACAGGUGCGCCAUUAGAAAAAAAAUCUAAUGGCGUCGUGCUAGUGGUGCACCUGUAGUGCGCCCUUAGUAGCGAAAACAGGUGCGCCACUAGCAGCCCUUUUUGUAGUAGUGAUACUUCUAAAACUAGUACAUCAUUGCUAACUACGAAGUUAUUAUUAUGUUUUUCAACAGAAACUCCCGAUGGAUUGUGUGCCUCAUCUGAUGUCUCUGCAUGGUCGCCUCUCAGUUCUGAACAUACUGACAGGUAAAUCUACGGAGCUCACAUGUGCAUAUCGGAUUUCUAAAACCCGUGAACACAUGUUCAUCAAAGAAUGGAAGAAAUGUAUGGACAUUCGCAAGGAGGUUCUUGGAAGUAACAUUCAGCGAAAGGCAAGAAU
rnacentral:lncRNA from 1 species